rnacentral:rRNA from 1 species
CCUACGGGAGGCAGCAGUGAGGAAUAUUGGUCAAUGGCCGGAAGGCUGAACCAGCCAUGCCGCGUGCAGGUCAGUGCCCUAUGGGCGUUAAACUUCUUUUGUGCGGGAGCAAUAAUGGUCACGUGUGGCCAGACGAGAGUACCGUACGAAUAAGCAUCGGCUAACUCAGUGCAAGCAGCCGCGGUAAUACGGGGGAUGCAAGCGUUAUCCGGAUUUAUUGGGUUUAAAGGGUGCGUAGGCUGGGAGGUAAGUCAGCGGGGAAAUGCCCCCGCUCAACGGGGUGAAGUGCCAUUGAUACUGCCUUGCUGGAAUGCGGAUGCCGUGGGAGGAAUGUGUGGUGUAGCGGUGAAAUGCAGAGAUAUCACACAGAACACCGAGUGUGAAGGCAUCUCACGAAUCCGCGAUUGACGCUGAUGCACGAAAGCGUGGGUAUCAAACAGGAUUAGAUACCCCUGUAGUC